rnacentral:lncRNA from 1 species
AUGGCUCCUGGCACCGAUGGGAAGGGUGUCAUGGCUGGUUGUGGCCCACAGCCACCAGGGAUGGUCACGGAACAGCAGGGAUGCUCAGCAGACACCAGGGAUGCUGGUGGAACUUCCACACCAGGGAUGCUCAGCAGACACCAGAGAUGCUCGUGGAACUUCCACACUAGGGAUGCUCAUGGGACACCAGGGAUGCUCUUGGAACUUCUGCACCAGGGAUGCUCAGCAGACACCAGGGAUGCUCGUGGGACACCAGGGAUGCUGGUAGAACUUCUGCACCAGGGAUACUCAGCAGACACCAGGGAUGCUCGUGGGACACCAGGGAUGCUCGUGGAUCUUCCACACCAAGGAUGCUCACGGGACACCAGGGAUGCUCGUGGAAUUUCCACACCAGGGAUGCUCGUGGGACACCAUGGAUGCUCUCCAGCACACGGCGUCAGGUCAGCAUCGCCAAAACACCGUUUUUUGGGCAGAAGGUGCGUUGCUGCCGACCCUGCUCGUACCCCUCCGUGGUUCUCCGCGGUGGGGGGUCCCGGGAAUCAGUUCACCGAGCCCCCCCCCCUUCCCGGCGUGUGAUUCCCCAGCCACACUGUCCUUAAAUGCGCCGUCACGAUGGAGCCAGGCACACGAGAUGGGAGCAUCCCCGGUGGGGACCGGUAACGCUUCCGCCCCCUUUCCCCCCCCCAAAAAAAAAAACUCCGCUACCGCCGCCGGAGGGGUUUGUAGACGCAGACGGCCAUGAGGAUGAUGGUGAGGAGGAGGGCGCUGAGGAUGCUGCCCAGCAGCACUGCGGGAGGAGGAGGAGGAGAGGUUAGGAUCUGAGUGCAUCCC